rnacentral:lncRNA from 1 species
CUCUAUUUUCAAUAUCUGAACACUUAAAAAAACUAUAAUCUCCUCCUUUACCUUAUCGGUCUCUUCCUUACAACAAUUCAGUCAUACCAAUAACUGCUAUUUCCACCAAUAUAUUCACCCUCAUAAUCUCCAACUGUAAUACUGCGCCCUCACAGCUUUUAGCACACAAUUACCCUUGUUCCAAUCACUAGAAUUCUUCACACAGAACUGCCAUUCACAUUACAGUGUUUCAUAGAAACACAGACUCAUUCUCUCUGCUAAACUACAAUCAGAUUUCAGCAUUCAAUCUUUCUUCGUCUCAAAUAAUACUAAUCACAUUUCCAUUCCAUAAUUCACUUCACAAUAUUCAGAAACUUUCAAUCCUCUUAUUCAAAGAAAAUAACAAACAAAAAAAAAGUGGUAGCACCAAGCUUACCUCGGCUCACAACUCUCACAUUCUGGCAUUUUCUUCCUCUCUCCCAUCCUCCUUAUACCAUCCCGAGAUACCAACUCCUAUACUACAGAUGAUAACUAUUUUUUUUGACUAUUCAUCCAUUCUACCUGCUGAACCACCUUUUCAGCAGUUAUCUAUGCCUGUUUAUACUAUACACUAGGUAUCUACAUUCUGAAAAUAACUACUUAUUCUACAGCCCCACAAACGAAAACCUCUUCAUGC